rnacentral:rRNA from 1 species
AGUGAACGCUGGCGGCAGGCCUAACACAUGCAAGUCGAGCGGCAGCGCGUCCGACCACCCUCGGGUGGUCGGAUGGCAGCGAGCGGCGGACGGGUGAGGAAUGCAUCGGAAUCUGCCUCGUUGUGGGGGGAUAACGUAGGGAAACUUACGCUAAUACCGCAUACGACCUACGGGUGAAAGUGGGGGACCUUCGGGCCUCACGCGAUGAGAUGAGCCGAUGCCGGAUUAGCUAGUUGGCGGGGUAAAGGCCCACCAAGGCCACGAUCGGUAGCUGGUCUGAGAGGAUGAUCAGCCACACUGGGACUGAGACACGGCCCAGACUCCUACGGGAGGCAGCAGUGGGGAAUAUUGGACAAUGGGCGCAAGCCUGAUCCAGCAAUGCCGCGUGUGUGAAGAAGGCCUGCGGGUUGUAAAGCACUUCAGUGGGAAGAACAGAUUCGGGUCAAUACCCGGACGCCCUGACGUUACCCACAGAAGAAG